rnacentral:lncRNA from 13 species
UUCUUUCUUGACAGUAAGGAUAAACAAUGUGCAGUAAGUCACAUGGGGUCGCUGGUUGGCCGUGUACCAGUAAGCGUGUUUGUAAUAGAGUGAAAAAGCGCGGUCAGGAUUGCUGAUGCAAUCCUUUUUAUUUCUUGUGCAAGCAUAUUCUGUAUUCCUAUUUAAGUCUUUUUGUUUCCCAUAUAACUAUUGAAAGCAAGAUAAAAAUACCUUGGUUACUAUGGUCAAAUCGUCCCCGCCACGUUGUUACACUGGGGACGGGUACCAUUAACGUUGAGAAGAAGAAGAAGUAAGUCACAUAUUUCCAAAAUAUCUGGGGGGGGCUAUUACGGUUUCUGAAACGAGGUGAAAAUUACAAAAAACCGUGAUAGCCCCCCUGAGAAGGUGCAAUUGGUGUUGCAAA